rnacentral:rRNA from 1 species
UACGUAGGGUGCAAGCGUUGUCCGGAAUUAUUGGGCGUAAAGGGCUCGUAGGCGGUCUGUCACGUCGGGAGUGAAAACACGGGGCUUAACCCCGUGCCUGCUUCCGAUACGGGCAGACUAGAGGUAUGCAGGGGAGAACGGAAUUCCUGGUGUAGCGGUGGAAUGCGCAGAUAUCAGGAGGAACACCGGUGGCGAAGGCGGGUCUCUGGGCCGUUACUGACGCUGAGGAGCGAAAGCGUGGGGAGCGAACAGG